CAAAGCACUAUGAAUAACUCAUGAAUAAAUAUUUUUAUCAUUGAUAAAAAAUAGGGGUUUCACAAUCUUCAUUUCAAGUCCAACUAAUAAAAACUACUAUAUACAACCUGUAGUUAUAUAUGUUAUGUAAGAAAAAUGUGUUUCUUCAAUUUCGACAGCUCCUCUGGGAAUUCUCUAUUACAUGGGAAAUGUCACCAUCUACAGAGACAGGAACUUUCGCAAGACGGCCAAUAUAAUUUGUGCCUUGAUCGCUAGUGGACGGUUCAGCGGUUACAUAACUUCAUAACUUCAGCGAUUACAUAACAUAUUGUCAAUUAUGUAUUUUAAACAAUAUUUUACACUGUAUCCAACAGACACAAAUCGACAAUAACAGAAAGCGCGCAAAACUGUAACGAACGAAUGCAAUCACCACAUUUGACUUCUUGAGUGAAUGAAGGUCUUAUGUUUGCGACUUAACACCUUCAUUCACGAAAAAUAAGGUUAUGUUCGUACAUAUCACCUUCUCUAACGCAAAAAAAGUAAAGUUUUUAUUUUUAUUAAAUGGGAGAGGGUGAUAUAUGAGAGGUGUAUAUACCUCUUUCAUCGUCUGUCUAUCUGUAAGUUUUAAAAUAAACUAAACAUAACACCUUUUUCAAAUUGUAUUUUUAAAAAUAGGCUUUAUAUCGACGAUUUUAAGGUUUGUAGUAAUUCAAUUAUACAUAUCAUAGUGAUCCAAAGAAAAAACACCGAAAACCGAAAAUUUUACAUAUCAUCUUCAUCCACUCACGUCUUCACUUUAUUGAAAGAAUGAUCAAAGAGACGUGAAAAAGUGUAGGAUUUGCAAGCAGAAUUUAUAAAAGCAAUGGGAUGCUGUUUUCUUUACACUGUAUUGUAGAAGAGUUUCUGUACUUUUGUAGAUUUGGAUAAGACUUAGGAUCGUGUAAUAAAGAAUGAAUCUUG